UCCAUUCGUUUUCGUAGUGUAAAAUGCAGAUCCAAUCCGGUCAUUUAAUAAAACUAAAGUGCCCCUUCCCAUAGAUUGAUUGGAAGAUGCCACAGCAACAGCGUUUAACAAAUUCAUAGGGCCGUCUGCGCCUAUAGCCGUAGAUGGUCUCAUUGCUCCAACUACAACAAUUGGUUUUGCAGUACUGAUGGUCAGAUCAAGAAACAUUGCUGUUUCUUCCAGGGAGUCGGUACCGUGUGUAAUGACGAUACCAUGAACAUUCGGUUUUGCAACUUCGGCUAAAAUCAAUUUAGCUAGUUUUAGGACAUCAGCAGGUGUUAAAUUUUCGCUUCCCAUAUUAGUUACCUGUACUCCAUUAAUGUUUGCAAUUGCCUUGAUCGCUGGAACCGCCUCAAUCAAUUUUUCAAUUCCUACCGAACCGGGAAUGUAAUUGACAAUCUCAAGACUUGAAUUUGCGCAUCCAGCGAUUGUACCACCCAUUGCAAAAACUGUAACAUUGGGAAGCAAGGCAUUAUAAGGAGUGGAUUUUGAUUUGCGUUUACUCAGUAAACGCAAUUGGCAUAGUAACACUAGAAAAAUCCCACAAGUUACUAUGAAUCCCCACAUCUCCUUACUUGGAAGCGCAGAUAGGAAACGGAACUAACCAUUAAAAAUUUCUUAUCUUUCAUAUUCUUUUUUAGUGUAUGGUAUCGUUAAACGUCGUGACUGCUUUUUC